GACGUAGGGGGCCAGCGUUGUUCGGAAUUACUGGGUGUAAAGGGUUCGUAGGCGGUGUGGCAAGUCGGGAGUGAAAUCUCUGGGCUCAACUCAGAGACUGCUUCCGAAACUGCUGUGCUGGAGUGUGGGAGAGGCGCGUGGAAUUGCAGGUGUAGCGGUGAAAUGCGUAGAUAUCUGCAGGAACACCCGUGGCGAAAGCGGCGCGCUGGACCACUACUGACGUUGAGGAACGAAAGCUAGGGGAGCAAACAGG
rnacentral:rRNA from 1 species